UACGUAGGGGGCUAGCGUUGUCCGGAAUCAUUGGGCGUAAAGCGCGCGUAGGCGGUCAGGAAAGUCCGGUGUGAAAGUCAUAGGCUCAACCUAUGGAUGCCGCUGGAAACUGCCUGACUUGAGUCCGGGAGAGGUGAGUGGAACUGCGAGUGUAGAGGUGAAAUUCGUAGAUAUUCGCAAGAACACCAGUGGCGAAGGCGGCUCACUGGCCCGGUACUGACGCUGAGGUGCGAAAGCGUGGGGAGCAAACAGG
rnacentral:rRNA from 1 species